UCCCUAGUACCUGCGAGUGRRAGGGAAAAGCUCAAAUUUAAAAUCUGGCAGCUUCGCUGUCCGAGUUGUAAUUUAGAGAAGUGUUACCCGUGUUGGACCGUGUAUAAGUCUCCUGGAAUGGAGCGUCAUAGAGGGUGAGAAUCCCGUCUUUGACACGGACUACCAAUGCAUUGUGGUGCGCUCUCGAAGAGUCGAGUUGUUUGGGAAUGCAGCUCUAAAUGGGUGGUAAAUUCCAUCUAAAGCUAAAUAUUGGCGAGAGACCGAUAGCGAACAAGUACCGUGAGGGAAAGAUGAAAAGAACUUUGGAAAGAGAGUUAAACAGUACGUGAAAUUGCUGAAAGGGAAACGCUUGAAGUCAGUCGCGUUGGCCGGGGAUCAGCCUUGCUUUUGUGAGGUGUACUUCCUGGUUGACGGGUCAGCAUCAGUUUCGACCACUGGAAAAAGACUUGGGGAAUGUGGCAACUUCGGUUGUGUUAUAGCCCUUUGUCGUAUACAGUGAUUGGGACUGAGGAACUCAGCACGCCGCAAGGCCGGGUUUCGACCACGUUCGUGCUUAGGAUGCUGGCAAAAUGGCUUUAAUCGACCCGUCUUGAAACACGGACCAAGGAGUCUAACAUGCUUGCGAGUGUUUGGGUGGAAAACCCGAGCGCGUAAUGAAAGUGAAAGUUGGGAUCUCUGUCGUGGAGAGCACCGACGCCCGGACCAGAAGUUUACUGACGGAUCUGCGGUAGAGCACGUAUGUUGGGACCCGAAAGAUGGUGAACUAUGCCUGAAUAGGGUGAAGCCAGAGGAAACUCUGGUGGAGGCUCGUAGCGAUUCUGACGUGC
rnacentral:rRNA from 1 species